CCCGGGCCUUGUACACACCGCCCGUCACACCAUGGGAGUGGGUUGCAAAAAAAGUAGGUAGCUUAACCUUCGGGAGGGCGCUUACCACUUUGUGAUUCAUGACUGGGGUG
rnacentral:rRNA from 1 species